AUUGAACGCUGGCGGCAGGCUUAACACAUGCAAGUCGAGCGGGGGAGGUUGCUUCGGUAACUGACCUAGCGGCGGACGGGUGAGUAAUGCUUAGGAAUCUGCCUAUUAGUGGGGGACAACAUUCCGAAAGGGAUGCUAAUACCGCAUACGCCCUACGGGGGAAAGCAGGGGAUCUUCGGACCUUGCGCUAAUAGAUGAGCCUAAGUCGGAUUAGCUAGUUGGUGGGGUAAAGGCCUACCAAGGCGACGAUCUGUAGCGGGUCUGAGAGGAUGAUCCGGCACACUGGGACUGGGACACGGCCCAGACUCCUACGGGAGGCAGCAGUGGGGAAUAUUGGACAAUGGGCGGAAGCCUGAUCCAGCCAUGCCGCGUGUGUGAAGAAGGCCUUUUGGUUGUAAAGCACUUUAAGCGAGGAGGAGGCUACUAGUACUAAUACUACUGGAUAGUGGACGUUACUCGCAGAAUAAGCACCGGCUAACUCUGUGCCAGCAGCCGCGGUAACAC
rnacentral:rRNA from 1 species